AGCUGAGUUUGAUCCUGGCUCAGAUUGAACGCUGGCGGCAUGCCUUACACAUGCAAGUCGAACGGUAACGGGUUAAGCCGACGAGUGGCGAACGGGUGAGUAAUAUAUCGGAACGUGCCCAGUCGUGGGGGAGUAACGUAGAGAAAUUUACGCUAAUACCGCAUACGAUCUAAGGAUGAAAGCGGGGAUCGCAAGACCUCGCGCGAUUGGAGCGGCUGAUAUCAGAUUAGGUUGUUGGUGAGGUAAAGCUCACCAAGCCGACGAUCUGUAGCUGGUUUGAGAGAACGACCAGCCACACUGGGACUGAGACACGGCCCAGACU
rnacentral:rRNA from 1 species